UACGUAGGGUGCAAGCGUUGUCCGGAAUUUUUGGGCGUAAAGAGCUCGUAGGCGGUCUGUCGCGUCGGCUGUGAAAUCCCGAGGCUCAACCUCGGGUCUGCAGUCGAUACGGGCAAACUGGAGUGUUGCAGGGGAGACUGGAAUUCCUGGUGUAGCGGUGAAAUGCGCAGAUAUCAGGAGGAACACCGGUGGCGAAGGCGGGUCUCUGGGCAACAACUGACGCUGAGGAGCGAAAGCGUGGGGAGCGAACAGG
rnacentral:rRNA from 1 species